rnacentral:lncRNA from 1 species
UGCACUGAGUUGGCAUUAUGUAUGAUAUGCCUCCCUUGUCUCUAUGCCACGUGGAUUUUAAUUAAAUUAAAACAAUAAAAAUAUUAUAAAAUAAAAUGUAUGUUUUAAUUGAUUUUUAUUAAAUUAAAAAUCUAAAAGAAAAUUGGUUUCAAAACGCUUUUGUCCGUGCACUGAAUCCCUUCUCGCAAUCCUCCAAUGCCUCAUUCAUCUGCUUCCAACAUAAAAAUUCUCUCACCACCCCUUUUAAUUGUUGGCAAUAAGAUCAAUAGGGUAAGUCC